rnacentral:rRNA from 1 species
AUUGAACGCUGGCGGCAGGCCUAACACAUGCAAGUCGAGCGGAGCGGCGGACGGGGGAGUAUUGCCUAGGAAUCUGCCUGGUAGUGGGGGAUAAAGACCGGAAAUGGGCGCUAAAACCGCAUACUCUCAGCUGAGCCUGUGUCGGAAUUGGUAGUUGGGGGGGUAAAGGCCUACCAAGGCGACGAUCCGUACCUGGUCUGAGAGGAUGAUCAGUCACACUGGAACUUAGACACGGUCCAGACUCCUACGGGAGGCAGCAGUGGGGAAUAUUGGACAAUGGGCGAAAGCCUGAUCCAGCCAUGCCGCGUGUGUGAAGAAGGUCUUCGGAUUGUAAAGCACUUUAAGUUGGGAGGCGUUACCAACAGAAUAAGCACCGGCUAACUUCGUGCCAGCAGCCGCGGUAAUUC